GCUUUGGUGGUGAGGUGGGUAGCACGUCAGCAAUAGGGAAGAGUAAUCGCAGGUUCAAAUCCUGCCUAGGGUC
rnacentral:tRNA from 1 species